UUGGAUUGGGCUCUCCCGUUUGGUUUAUAACAUUGGUGCUUUCAUUGAGAGUCCCAUGCGUGGCGGCCGUGACUCGGAGUGGUGACCUAUGUGCCAGUAGUAGUUGCCUGAACCCGAGGGGUGCUAGCCAUGACCAACUGAGCAUAGCCGUGACCAACGAGGAUCCCGUGACUCGGAGUGGUGGCUUAUGUGCCAGUAGUAGUGGCCUGGACCCGAGGGGUGCCAACCAUGACCAACUGGGCAUAACCGUGACCAACGAGAAACAAACCAUGGCUCCGAAGUGGUGGCCUGUGUGUCAGUAGUGGUGGCCUAGACCCAGGAGGGGUGCCAGCCGUGACCAACGAGGUCGUUGGUUCUCAAGCGGAGGUGAUUGUAAUAAACCAAUGUCCCACAUUUAAAAAAAAGAGAAAUGCUAAGGGGUUUAUAUGCCAAAUGGGUUCUCCCACCUAUUAGACUAG
rnacentral:lncRNA from 1 species